CCACACACUUGCCUGUGUAGGACACAAACAAUCCUUGAGCAGACCUAGGGAAGAUGCAAAUAAGGGCAGAAUGAGUCUCAGAAAAGUGCCCUUAAAUAGUCUGAGUGUUUCUGAGAGAAUAUCUGCUAGAACUACAGGGAGCAGUGGCUUCUCCUAGAUGACAAUGGAGUUGUAGAAGUUAAAAGGCUUUAAAAGGUUUAGAGUGCUUCUGCUGUCUCAGGAGAUGUGAAGAAGACACACUCCAAAAGAAAAAAAAGAAGGAAAAAAAAAAGAAAAAAAGAAGAAGAAAAAAAAAAGAGACAACUUUCUCUGCUACCCACCUGAACACUGAGUCUUCAGCUGUGAGAAGAGACUUCAGAGCAAGACCUCUACAGACUAAAGGGUUCAUAAAGGAGUUCACUGAUACCUUGUUGACAAUGGUGAUGAAAUACCCUGACUUGUCAUCCUGGGAGAUUUCAACACACACAUCGACGAGGCUGCAGAUAUGAAGUCCCACAAACUCACCUCCUGGCUUUCCUCCCAAACACUCUCUGGGUAUUUCUACAUCGACAUUUACAGUCAGCCUCAAGGGGUCCCUGUCACUGGCUCUGAGUGGCAUGUGUCACCCUGACAGGAAUUUUCAGUGAGCUGCAUGCAGGGUUUACUGAAGUUCCCUACUUGCGGUCAGUUCCAAGAAGAGGUCAGAAUCCAGAUCACAGGGUGUGGUUGUGCUGAAUUCCUCUGCCCAAUGCCCGCAAACAUGCUGAGGAGAGGGUGAUAGAAUGAGUGAGAGGAUAAAAGAUGGAUCUGAGCUCCAGCAGAUUUCCUGGCUUUAGCUAUAUUUGGGAGCCACGGUGUAGGUGUUUAUUUGGUAUAAGCACAAUGAUGACCUUAGGGUUACUCUUGCUAUCAGUGUUGAUCAUCUUCUCUCAUUUAAUCCAUAUGCUCUUUGAUUUGAUGUAUACUGAACAAGAAGAGUGUGGACCAACUGCAAGGGAUGUCUUGAACCUGGGGUAAGCAAAACAUUUGGUCUCCGCAAGUGGGCCAGAGCAGACUAGUUCAGACAGGGUUAUCAGAGGAGGUGCCAAGCUGGGUGCAGGGGAUGGUAGGAUGCAGUGCUCUGAAGGCAUGUGAAUACUGGUGGGACUCAGGGGACUUCUAGCUCUGAUUUAGCUUUUAUCAGAUUCUCUCCUAGCAUGCCCCUGGAAGGGCAGCACUGCACAGCUGGGCCAAGGUGCUGAGGAUUAGGGAAGUUCCUCCUGUCAUGCAUGCAUCCCUUAAGGUUCUCUACCUAGUCCCCAGAAGCAUCUCAUUCCCUUCACCCUCACAGAGUGCCUCAGAGCUGUUAUCCUGCUGGACUGGAGAGAUAAGGAAGCCAUGGCAGGAACCAGGAUAGCAACACUGAAAAAACAACAUCUGUCUUGGUGUAUCUGGUUCUGUCCUUGGUGACACUGCAUGAGAGGCCCAGGAGACUUCCUGAGCUGUAACAACAAAGCUCCAAACACCUCUGUAUCCUCUGGCAGGGAUACUUCCAGCCAAAGUGGCCACAGGGAACAGCCAGCAAUCAUGUUGCUGAGAACCAUGGAGGAUGACUCAAGGGAUUCACUAAAGCCCAAACUGCCUGUCAAACCAAGAGUGGGCGAGGAGCAGUGGAGGCUUGUUACCUUUUUGAAAUUUGUUUUCUUUGUUUUCAAAUCAUGUGCAACCUUUGGGAGAUGUUUCUUGGCAAAAAAAGCAAGUUAUGCUCCUGCCCACACAAGCUCUGAUAGAUAAAUUUGAGUUGAAAUUGAAACACUCAGUUUUAGACUUUGUUUUUUUCCUCUCUCUCUCCAGAUUAGACAGUGAAAUAGUGGACAUGAUUUUCUUGCCUUUGGCUUUUCUGCUCUCUGUUUUUGUUUCCUAAUGAACAGCCAUAGAUCCUCGAUGCUAUCCUGCUACUGUAGGAAAAGCUGGACAGGACCAAACCUAGUUGUUGAAAUAAUGAUGAAGAAAAUGUCCCUUUGCUUUCUGUUGACAGAGGUAGCUCAUUGCUAGUCAGUUAGGCCUUUGACAUGAUCAUCAAAAUAAAGCUGUUAACGUAAAUAGAGACAUGUAUUUUAAAAAUUACUUGCUAGAAAACUCACAGCCAUCAUUCCCAAAAUCAGUGAAUCUUGUCUCACAGGUGCAGUUACCACAAACUUUUUUAGUGUUUUUAUAUUCAUCCAAGCAUAACAGAACUUGACUCUAGAUCACAUACCUUCUGUUACUGAAAUCUGAGUAAUGCAUUAAGUAAUGGACGAAUCUGUCUGGAUUGACUAAUGUGGUUACAGGAUUUCAUCCUGAUUUGAGAUGCAUGAAUCAGGGAUGAGAAGAGCCAGUUUUAAUAAAAUGCAGAUACCCCUUGGGGACCCUAGGCUGAGGGGGCUCUUUGGGUGCCCACACUCCCCACCUGCACGUGCCACUGACCCACCUCCCUGCCUUCUUUUUUUCUCUCUCCCUCACUUUUUUUUUGUCAUUUUUUCCUGGAGCAUUGCCUAAAGGAAUGAAUUAAGGCUGUUAGGGUCCAGGUUGAUGUUGUGAUGUUUAUAGCCCCAACAGCGUGAUGAUUGUUUUAUGGUGUUUGUGUUUUGGCAUCAGUGAUGCCGUGAUGUUUGCGCUGCGAUGUUGUCAUCUGGGGAGGGCAGGGCCAUGGCUACAUUACAUCUAUGUAUCCCAUACGUGGUGUAAAAUGCACAUAUAAAUCACACAGAUGCUGAGUUCCUGGGGCGUGGGAUAGGGGGCCCUCAUCCCCCAAGCAAGUGCUCGUGAGGAACAAGUGCGCAGCCAGGCGUGAAAUGGCUGAGGGUGGCUUGCAAACCCAGCAGCCUGCCAGGAUGGCCAGCACUGCAUGAUACCAUGCAAUCUUCUGUCAAAAGAAAUGCCAGAUAUUGGACUAAAAGUAUGUAGCUCUUGCCUGUGUCUUCAGACAACUCUCCUUAGCAACGUGGAAGUGGGCUUUGGGGCCAGGAUGCAUGGUCUGGAAUUGCUGGUGUUCCUGUGUAGGCGUAGAGGUGGGCACUGAAAUUUCCUCAGAGUGGUGUGGUAUUUAUGGAUGAAGCCCUUGUCCAGGAGAACUUCCUGCUCUGCUCCUACGGGGCCUCUCACAGGGGCUGCUGGAGCCAAAGCAGAGUGACAGAGCAGACCAGGAGAAACAGCAGUGUAGCCACUGCCAUUCACCAGAGGGAAGGCGUUUCACAGGAAAUGUCCUCAUUACUUGCUGCUCACAAAUAAAUCACAAUUUGAUUUUUGGGAGCAAUUUCCCUCUGAGCUAAAGACUACUCUGAUGCCUGCUCUUUCCCAAUAUAUCUUUCAGCAGCUGAAGUGCAGCUGAAGACAUCAUAAUGCAAAUUGAAAUACUUUUCUGCUCUCAUCCAUCAGAGAUGGUACUGCUUCCCUGCAUAUCUUGUGGACCUUUAAGUUGAGUGUGAACUAUGUUUCUGUCUCAGUGAUCACAUGUGAGAACUGCACAUUUCAUGAUCUCUUCCCCCCCGUUACUAUUGUUAUCAAACUUUUGUCACCAGUUGCUGUUUCAUUCACCAAUGUGUAAUCUGUAAAUGCCAGACCCCUGGUCCCAUCCACAGAGCAGAUCUAAAUGUCCUUCUUUAGCUAAACUGUGUUUUUUGCUUGAUCUGUCAGCACUCUUACUGCAUGUGCUCCAACAAACCAAGUGCCUUUGUUCUCCUAAAGCAAUCCUGCCUCAGGCUAUCCUUCCAGUAGAACAUUAGUUCUUUUGUUUGGAUAAAAGGGUGUCAUCACUCACUCAUGAUGAGAAUAUGAUUCAGCCCCUUCUCCUCACAUUCACGGUCCAGUCUUCAUAAAUACUUGCUUUUACAGCAUAUUGUAUGUGUAUUCAAAUGGCUGACAUCAGUGGGCCAAAUUGUGCCCUAACAUGAAUGUGCUCCAGUCCUGCUGUUCAUGUUGGAGGAAUUGUGGGGAGCCUAAAUCAGAAGAAAGUAUGAUCUGUACCCAGUCCCAUUUAGAUGUUUGUUUGGUUUUUUUUAAUGGCAUUAAUAUUUUUAAAUAAAAUGUUUCCUGAUCUGAAAAAAGGAGGUUUAAACAGCAGCCCACUAAAGUAGAUGUGAUUUUUUUCCCACCUGCUUUGCUGAACUUUCAGUCCAUGCUACCAAGAAACCUCCUUAGUGUUGCUAUUGUCAUGUCAGCUUCACAUAGAUAGGCAAAAUUUUGGAUGCUCAAUUGAAUUUACUAGAGGCACACUUCUGAAACUUCCCCAUUAUGUGUUCCUUCUUCUUUACUGAACUAAGUAUCUAACUACUGCAAUUUCUCUUCUAGGAAGCUGUAUUUGGGCAGGAAUACUACUGAAAGACAGUGAACAAUAAUAAUAAUAAUAACAAUAAUAAUAAUAAUAACAACAACAAAAACAACAUCAACGUCCACUAGAAAUUCUUGCUCUGCUCCUGAAACUUCAGAUUUGUUAUUAUGUCUGUAAAGCAGGGAGUGGUGAGUACAAUAAUUUCUCUUUGCUCUGAGGUUCCACCACUUUCUGAUUUUCCAAAUCAGAGCUGUACAUGAACAGUAUAAAGUGUAUGGACUGUGUCCCAAACUGGAUCUCUGCCAUUUCAAGGGAGAACUGAGGAUGUGAAAAGACUUCUAAAAUGUAUAAAAAUACUUGGAUUGCAUUGAUUUAGCUUCAUGCUAGGUUUAUUUAAUGAUAGUGAGGGUGUGGUGUAAAUCCCUAUAGUUUGGUUUUUUUUUUUUCCUGGGCAAAACCUCCUAAAAUUCACUGCAAUCGAGCUGAAAGAUAUGGAGAGAUACAGGAUACAAGUGACUUUAAAAUAAUUCCUCACAACAUCUGUUAACACUGAGACGAGCUAAUGUUGCUUUAUUUCAUGAACUAAGGAAGUGGAAAAGAGCCUUAAGGAAAACACAUUAGGAUAAGCUUAAGGAAGAACGUAGAGCAUAUGGUGGCACAUGGAUAAGCAGGCCUGGAUUACCUUGGUUAAUAACUCACCCAACACACUGCUUUUCUAAUCUCUUAAUUUCCAUAUUUACCUUAAAGUGCUUUAAACAAGAGUUUGCCAGACCUAACUGUAGCUAUUCAGUGUAUUAGAAAGUUUUUGAUUGGUGUGAAAGGAUUUGUGAUUAGCCAGACAUUUCAUGGCCCUCUUGGUAAUGUGUUAAGAAGCCUUCCUGACAUCAAAAUUUAUUUUAAAGGAAAGCUUGUCCUAACAGUCAGAAAAGCCUCUAAAAGCUCAUCUGUUACGCCUUGAUAACUUUUUAGAAGCUACUCCAAUAUCCAUUGAAGAAGCAGAAAGGCGCCCAGUGAUUUCAGGAUACAUUUUAUCAGAACACUUAAGCAAGGAGUUGGCUAAAGUGAGUAUCUGCUUUAAAGAUGUUAACAUUCACAGGACUGUACAACAUCCAUGAAUGAUGUGUUCUAGUAUCUAUUCAGUUUAUUAAGUAAAAGUAUUUUUCAUAAAUCUACUCUCAACAUUACCAGGACAAAGAGAAUUUUCAGUUCUGAGCUUGUCUUAGAAGGCAGUCAGUUUGUUGUUAGUUAAUUUGAUUGGAAAAUUAAUGGGGCACAUUACUGGAUGAAGGGUGUGACUUUAUCGUUCUGUCUCUUCAUUGCUGAAUGACAUAUUGGAUACCUUAUGUGGAAAAUGAUGGCAAAAAGGUGAAGUUAUUCAGCAAUUAUUUUUCUUUUUUCAUUGUUGGUCUUUCUGACUCUGACAGAUAGCAACAUAUCUGCUGUAUGAAUCUUAACUUUUCCUCUCCAGAAAGGGUGAUGGGACUUUAUGGGAAUUCUUGCCUGUAAGUGUCAUCAUGAAAACAGGACCUGCAAAGCUUUCUCUGUGAUUCACCACAACAAAAGAUCUUUUGUUUCAAAAGCCAGACAAGACUGGUAUUGGGCUGCAUACUUGAGUAACACGUCAUGUACAAAACCAACCACUUAAAAUCAUGGAAAAUUCAGGACAUCAUAAAUCUUAUACCAACUGCAUCAUUUUAUUUAUUCAAUUUUUUUCAGAUAUUUAAAAUAAACAAAAUGUGUUCCUUCAUAGGCUGUAAGCACUCUGCCAAUUUAGAACUGCAAAACCGAAAUGCAAUAUAAUUGACUCACUGCUUCUACCAAACUGAAGUAAAUAAACACUGGAGCCCCAUUCAUCAACCAGUCCUCUUAAGGCUCCUCAAAGAGCAGAUCCAACACAUGGGUCUUGUAGCAUGUCUAAAAGUCAACAAAUACAGGUGGUGUCAGACUACAGGAAGGGAUUUAUGAAGCCCUGAAAGAUUUUUGUAUUUUGCUGGCUAUACCUUCCCUAUUAUAUUGAAGGGAACAUAAUCCAGUCUCACUGUUUCUAAUGCCUGCAUCUCUGAGAGAUACAUGACCAAGUAUUUGUCUUAGGAAAGAUCUUCCCUGGAGGCUCUGAGCUUCCUGUGCCCAAACCAUCAUAUUCAAAUAAGUCAGGCCACUCAAAAGGGGCCGACCUGGGUCCCAGAGCAGAGAUGCACAUCCCAGGUGUGUGAUUGCCUUCUGUACCACAACCUGCUUCCAAUUAAAUUGCAAUGCAGGCCAUGUGAAGGAUGUGCUGCAGGACUAAGCCAGAAAUUACAAAAACACAGAUGAUGAGUGCAAGUUAUCCAUCUGAAAGUAAUGACUGUGAACACUGAGGCAGGCACAUGCAAUGGAAUCUCUGAGAAUCACUGUCAGAAGUGAAUGUGGCCCCAUUGAAGGGAGAGGACCAUCUAGAAAAGAGGGCCUUUGUAUGAAUGCUGUGCUGGAGGACCAGAAGAGGAUGGCACUGCGUAGCAGAAGCAAUUACAGACCUCAAGGGACUUGGAGAAACUGAGGAGGUCUUAAACCACUGGUCUUGUUAAGUUUCAUUACCCUGGAUUCAAAGAAAAAGACUGUGAUGACAGGUAGUGAUGAAUUUGUUAGGUGGCCUUCUGGGACAUACAUUUGGAUCCCUAAAGCAGAGGGAGGCAACCUGAAGAGAGUGGCUGGGAUGUAACACACAGACGGGUGCUGCAAGCUGACCACAUUUGGAGAUGGAAGGAUGGCUUUGAGGAUGUUUGUCUACCUUCUCCAAGAAGAGAAGCAGACAAAGGAUGUGAUCUAGUCCAACUGCUGGAAUAUGAAACUGGGCAGCCAGAGACAAGAAGAAAGCAACAUAUUUUUAAACAAAAAGGAGAAAUGAAUGGCAGUGGAACUUCUGGGACCCCCUCUUUGCACCUUGGCAAGAUGUUCAACUGCUUUGUGAAAACCAGCAGCUGCUUAAGACCCACAAGGACCAUCAGAAUGUACACCUUAAAUCCACAGAAACAACCUACUGGGAGGAUCUCUGAAAAGAGGCUUUCAUCUCUGCCCAUUUUGUCAACAUCCUCCAGAAAACAGGAGUCAACUGACAGAGUGACACUGUUGGAGAGGAAGCUUAUCUUCAUCAUGAGAUGAGGGAGCUGCUCCACCUGCCUUCCAGGGAAACAAGCAAUUGAUGCAGUCCACAGAUGGGUGGCUAGGACACCUUCAUGGAAGUGGAUGAUACGGAAUCUGACCACCCAAAGAGCAAGGGAACUUACCUCUUCCUUGUACUUUGAGGAAAUCACAGGGUAACUGCUAAGCUGUUGCAUUUAAGAUUCUCAACACUGCCCCUCCUAAUGAAAGCAUCUCCAUCUUUCAUGAUUAUCAGGAAACUGUAAGUGUGCUUUGAAUAUAUUUACUGGAUCCAGCCUCCUUGAACUGAGGUACAAGUCAUGAAUCUCACAGUCUUUGGCAGAGAUGGAGAAAAAGUAUUUGGCUCAGCCAGUAUCAUGGUUCCAUUGGGCACGCUUUGUAGCAGAAAUGUUGACGCCAAACUAAGCUUUCCUGUGCAAACUUAAGCGCUUACAGACUCUCAGACAUCUAAAGGAUUAAGAAAAUCCUUUGUGGAUCACAUAUUUGGACAUGGGUGACUAAAUUCUGCCUAAAGUGCUUGAGAAGUUGGUUUGUGCACAUUGUAAUUUUCCAGUUCCUUCCAACUAACCCUUUGGUGUUAUAUUGGUGAUAAUUACUUCUCUGUCUCUGAGUGUCUGUCUCAAAGGAAUCGGUCUUCUCAGUAGCACAACUUUUUGCGCAACUGGUAGAAACCAUCUUCUCUCUCAAACCACCUCACUGAUUAAAAUAACCAAAUUCAGAGCAAUUGUUCGCAUUCCAGAUUUAGUUCUGAAGCUUGCUGCCUCCCUUUCUGAAGUAAUGAAUGACUCCUGCACCUCAUCUGUUUUCUCCCAUCCAUUUCAGCUGGUGUGAUGCAAGAUGUUUUUUCUUUGUAUCAGCUUUACCUUGUUUCUAGGACAGCAUUACAUGUACCACAGGAUUCAGCCUCUGGGAAAGACAUAUCCAAUGUCACUGAGUGUUCUCAACAGCUCAAAGGGAAACCAAGUACUUUGUCUAACUGUGUACCUCUUGAAACCAGAAGACAAAUAUGCUGAACCUGUGAGAAAAGAGAAGUGAGUUUUCUACCACUGAUGGAGAACUGAAGAGCUGUUUAGGUAGAGAUAGUUAUUACAGUCCUGCUGCUCAGCCACUGUGCUCCCCAUAGAAAAAACUCUGCAGCUGUUCUGCUAUUUUUCAUGUAAGACUGACUCCUUUUCUAGCUGGUUGUACCCUGGGGGAGCUGCUGCAGGAGUUUUGCCAGCUAGAGCAAGAUUUGGGAGGGUGAAGGCCAGCUCCUCAUUAGGAGCAGGCAGGCAGUGAAGACUACUUGUUUCAAAGAAGUAUGAUGAGCAAUGAAAUAUCCAUGGCAAGAUUCAUCCUGGCUAGCUGCUGAUGUCAAGAGUAGAAGUUCACACCUGUGUUAGUCUUCUAGCUCUCCCAAAAGCCUAUAGAGACCUAGUUCUGAUUAGAUUUAGAGGAAAUGUGUCCAAAAGCAUCUGUUUCUCCCCUCUGCCCCAAUGCCAAAAAAGCCCUGUUCUAUAUAGGUCAGACAUAAACAUCUACAUCCACCUCAGCAGGUGCUUGAUGAAGAUGAGGUGGGUGGGAGUCUCUUAGCUGAGUCUGGCUACACCCAUAGAACUUGACUCAGUGUGUACAAUGUGCUGCUGCUCCAGAAAGGGAGAGCAGAUGUCCCCAACACAUUCGCUUUGCUGCCUGCUCUUGCGCCAGAAGGGUGGUGGCACAUCUGCAUUUCUUCCCAGUCACAUCUGGCUGAGAUGUGGCAACAGACUCUCUGCACAAGGUACCGCCCAAGGGCUAUGAGGGGAAGACUCUGCUGCAGCAUUUGAAGCAAGGGUGGGCAGCAAGAGACAUAUCCCUCUUUGUCUCAUUUUGUUUUCACCCACACGGCACGUAGCUGCUUACAGAACGAGAUCCGGCCCUCUAGGAAGUACACAU